rnacentral:miRNA from 1 species
UGAGAGGUUCUGAACAAGUAUA